AUAAUGUCAAGCUUUGAAUGGAAAGAGAUAAUGUUGUACACAUAAAAUGUCACCACUCACAGGCUGGCCCCACCAUUGACACUUUACUCUGGAGUUGAGGGAUGUAACCUCUCCAAGUGAAUCACCACAAACCAAAAAACCAGAAAUAACCAGCGAAGCACGGGGGAGACUAAUAUGGUAGUAUUGCCCUGAAGGAUAGCAAUGACUUUUCGGCCACACCCAUGGCACCAAGCACAAUCCAGAAUAUACAGGAAAUGCUGGGCAAUUGACUCCUUCAGUUAAACGCUCCACCACCACCACAAGUCGCUCAAGAUGUGUGACAUAU